UACGGGGGGAGCAAGCGUUGUUCGGAUUUACUGGGCGUAAAGGGCGCGUAGGCGGCGCGACAAGUCACUUGUGAAAUCUCUGGGCUCAACCCAGAACGGUCAAGUGAUACUGUCGUGCUAGAGUGCGGAAGGGGCAACUGGAAUUCUUGGUGUAGCGGUGAAAUGCGUAGAUAUCAAGAGGAACACCGGUGGCGAAGGCGGCCCACUGGUCCGGUACUGACGCUGAGGUGCGAAAGCGUGGGGAGCAAACAGG
rnacentral:rRNA from 1 species